GUAGAGAAAGGAGGGCAAAUAUAUUAGUCCAAAGGGAGGGUGAUGUGUUUUGUGACACUGGGUGGAGGAGGCCCUGUGAGCUGUGCUGUUGCCUGGCAUUCACUCUCUAAAUGGCUGCUCCACUGUCAUCUCCCAUGUAUGUUCCUGAUGGGGAUUUCCAGACAUGUUGCUGCCACCAGCAUCCUUCUCUCAGGGAAGGGUAGGUUCUUGUCACCAGGAGGCACAGAACCUCAAGAGAAGCACACAGAGGUUUUGACUUAAAAAAUCAGCAAGUUCAUGUGAGAAACUACACAGGAGUAGGGAAAGAUCUGCCUGAAAUGAUCAGAGGCAACACUGUGUGUUACCCACACAGGACCAGGAACAGUGCUUGCUUCAAAGAGCAAAACCAAAAGACCUCAUAAUUCAAGGGUCAUUGGUUGGAUACUAAAAGGGGCCUUGCUUCCACAGUGGGGAAAAAUUACUGCAGACUAAAUGUGGCUUUGAUCCCAAGUAACUAAGACUAAAAGCAAGCAUCAAAACCA
rnacentral:lncRNA from 1 species